rnacentral:rRNA from 1 species
GCAUAUCAAUAAGCGGAGGAAAAGAAACCAACAGGGAUUGCCCCAGUAACGGCGAGUGAAGCGGCAACAGCUCAAAUUUGAAAUCUGGCCCCAGGCCCGAGUUGUAAUUUGCAGAGGAUGCUUCGGGCGCGGUGCCUUCCAAGUCCCCUGGAACGGGGCGCCAUAGAGGGUGAGAGCCCCGUCGGGUCGGCCGCCAAGCCUGUGUGAAGCUCCUUCGACGAGUCGAGUAGUUUGGGAAUGCUGCUCUAAGCGGGAGGUAGACCCCUUCUAAAGCUAAAUACCGGCCAGAGACCGAUAGCGCACAAGUAGAGUGAUCGAAAGAUGAAAAGCACUUUGAAAAGAGGGUUAAACAGUACGUGAAAUUGUUGAAAGGGAAGCGCUUGUGACCAGACGUGCGCCGGGGUGUUCCGCGGGCGUUCUCGCCCGUGCACUCGCCCCGGCGCAGGCCAGCGUCGGUUCUGGCGGGGGGACAAAGACGACGGGAACGUAGCUCCCCCGGGAGUGUUAUAGCCCGCCGUGCCAUGCCCCCGCCGGGACCGAGGUUCGCGCUCCGCAAGGACGCUGGCGUAAUGGUCCCCAGCGGCCCGUCUUGAAACACGGACCAAGGAGUCGAGGUUUUGCGCGAGUGUUUGGGUGUCAAACCCGCACGCGUAAUGAAAGUGAACGUAGGUGGGAGCUUCGGCGCACCACCGACCGAUCCUGAUGUGCUCGGAUGGAUUUGAGUAGGAGCGCAGGGCCUCGGACCCGAAAGAUGGUGAACUAUACGUGGAUAGGGUGAAGCCAGAGGAAACUCUGGUGGAGGCUCGCAGCGGUUCUGACGUGCAAAUCGAUCGUCAAAUCUGCGUAUGGGGGCGAAAGACUAAUCGAACCAUCUAGUAGCUGGUUACCGCCGA